rnacentral:rRNA from 1 species
UAGAGUUUGAUCCUGGCUCAGGACGAACUUUGGCGGCGCGCUUAACACAUGCAAGUCGAACGGAGUUGCAUCUUAACCCUCUUCGGAGGGGGCGGGUGCAUACUUAGUGGCGGAUGGGUGAGUAACGCGUGAGCAACCUGCCUUUCAGAGGGGGAUAACACAAUGAAAAUUGUGCUAAUACCGCAUAACGUUACACUGCGGCGUCGCAGAGUAACCAAAGGAGAAAUCCGCUGAAAGAUGGGCUCGCGUCCGAUUGGGUAGUUGGUGAGGCAAUGGCUCACCAAGCCGACGAUCGGUAGCCGGACUGAGAGGUUGACCGGCCACAUUGGGACUGAGACACGGCCCAGACUCCUACGGGAGGCAGCAGUGGGGGAUAUUGCACAAUGGGCGCAAGCCUGAUGCAGCGACGCCGCGUGAGGGAAGAAGGUCUUCGGAUUGUAAACCUUUGUCCCAUGGGAAGAAACAAAUGACGGUACCAUGGGAGGAAGCCACGGCUAACUACGUGCCAGCAGCCGCGGUAAUACGUAGGUGGCGAGCGUUGUCCGGAAUUACUGGGUGUAAAGGGUGCGUAGGCGGGGUAGCAAGUUGGAUGUGAAAUACUCAGGCUCAACCUGAGAACUGCAUUCAAAACUGUUGCUCUUGAGUAGAGUAGAGGCAAGCGGAAUUCCCGGUGUAGCGGUGGAAUGCGCAGAGAUCGGGAGGAACACCAGUGGCGAAGGCGGCUUGCUGGGCUUUUACUGACGCUGAGGCACGAAAGCAUGGGUAGCAAACAGGAUUAGAUACCCUGGUAGUCCAUGCCGUAAACGAUGAUUUACUAGGUGUGGGUGGACUGACCCCAUCCGUGCCGGAGUUAACACAAUAAGUAAUCCACCUGGGGAGUACGACCGCAAGGUUAAAACUCAAAGGAAUUGACGGGGGCCCGCACAAGCAGUGGAGUAUGUGGUUUAAUUCGAAGCAACGCGAAGAACCUUACCGGGGCUUGACAUCCUGCGAAUCCUUCAGAGAUGAGGGAGUGCCUUCGGGAACGCAGAGACAGGUGGUGCAUGGUUGUCGUCAGCUCGUGUCGUGAGAUGUUGGGUUAAGUCCCGCAACGAGCGCAACCCUUGUUGAUAGUUGCUACGCAAGAGCACUCUAUCGAGACUGCCGCUGACAAAGCGGAGGAAGGUGGGGACGACGUCAAAUCAUCAUGCCCCUUAUGUCCCGGGCUACACACGUACUACAAUGGCCGUUAACAGAGGGCUGCAAAGCCGCGAGGUGGAGCAAAUCCCCAAAAACGGUCUCAGUUCGGAUUGUAGGCUGCAACUCGCCUACAUGAAGUCGGAAUUGCUAGUAAUCGCGAAUCAGCAUGUCGCGGUGAAUACGUUCCCGGGCCUUGCACUAAGCGCCCGUCA